UCUAGGCUCAUUAUACUUGAAAAUUUAAUGAAAAUCAUCUCCUCUAUCGCACUCGCUCCUCGUGAUCAAUGACGUCACACCAAAACAAGAACAGCUGACAGAGUCUGGGAUCCAAGGUGAAAACUAAAGGUUGGGGGACAUUGGAUUUCUUAAUGAAAUUGGAUAAUACGUACAGUACUUGAGUCAAUAUGGUGUAGUUGUUGACUGUGUGUCAUCCAGCAAGAGCUUGUAGCUGGUUACUUUCCAGUAUGUCUAUUAAUAGUCUCCCAUAUGAGGUUCUUUCAGGUAUUUUUUGUUAUCUUGGAGUGAGUGACCUUUUAGCAGCUUCGAGCGUUUGCAAGCAAUGGCGAGAAGCAGCAUCAACCCUUCUUGCCAAACGAGUUACCAUCAUGAUAACAGAUGAUGCAGCUCC